UUUUUGACAAUGCCACGCAGACGCAGACACGCCGCUCGCCCCGUUCAGAGACGUAGGAGGACUCGCAGGUCCAUUCCACAGACGGAGGAGAGUUGUCCGACGCAGACGCUAGGCAACGCUAAUAAACAUGCAUUUUUAGGGCCCGGACAAAAAAAUUUUUUGACAAUGCCACGCAGACGCAGACACGCCGCUCGCCCCGUUCAGAGACGUAGGAGGACUCGCAGGUCCAUUCCACAGACGGAGGAGAGUUGUCCGACGCAGACGCCCUAUCAAGUGUAAUGA